GUGAGUGAUGAAGGUUUUCGGAUCGUAAAGCUCUGUUGCCAGGGAAGAACGUCCGGUAGAGUAACUGCUCCGGAGUGACGGUACCUGAGAAGAAAGCCCCGGCUAACUACGUGCCAGCAGCCGCGGGUAAUACGUAGGGGGCAAGCGUUGUCCGGAAUUAUUGGGCGUAAAGCGCGCGCAGGCGGCUUUUAGUCUGGUGUUUACCUUGGGCCACCUGAGGCGCACUGGAAACUGGGUGGCUUGAGUACAGAAGAGGAAAGUGGAAUUCCACGUGUAGCGGUGAAAUGCGUAGAUAUGUGGAGGAACACCAGUGGCGAAGGCGACUUUCUGGGCUGUAACUGACGCUGAGGCGCGAAAGCGUGGGGAGCAAACAGGAUUAGAUACCCUGGUAGUCCACGCCGUAAACGAUGAGUUGCUAGGUGUUUAGGGGUUUCGAUCCCUUUGGUCCGAAGUUACACAGCUAAGCACUCCGCCUGGGGAGUCGGUCGCAAGACUGAAACUAAAGGAAUUGACGGGGACCCGCACAAGCAGUGGAGUAUGUGGUUUAAUUCGAAGCAACGCGAAGAACCUUACCAGGUCUUGACAUCCCUCUGAAUCUGCUAGAGAUAGCAGCGGCCUUCGGGACAGAGGAGACAGGUGGUGCAUGGUUGUCGUCAGCUCGUGUCGUGAGAUGUUGGGUUAAGUCCGCAACGAGCGCAACCCUUAACUUUAGUUCCAGCAGGUUAUGCUGGGCACUCUAGAGUGACUGCCGGUGACAAACCGGAGGAGGUGGGGAUGACGUCAAAUCAUCAUGCCCCUUAUGACCUGGGCUACACACGUACUACAAUGGCCGGUACAACGGGAAGCGAAGCCGCGAGGUGGAGCCAAUCCCAUCAAAGCCGGUCUCAGUUCGGAUUGCAGGCUGCAACUCGCCUGCAUGAAGUCGGAAUUGCUAGUAAUCGCGGGAAUCAGCAUGCCGCGGUGAAUACGUUCCCGGGUCUUGUCACACCGCCCGUCACACCACGAGAGUUUCAACACCCGAAGUCGGUGGGGUACCCGCAAGGGAGCCAGCCGCCGAAGGUGGGGUAGAUGAUUGGGGUAAGUCGAACCAGGUACCAGG
rnacentral:rRNA from 1 species